rnacentral:rRNA from 1 species
UGCAGGAAGAAGCCCUCUGGGUCGUAAACUGCUUUUACUCGGGAAUAAACCUGUCUACGUGUAGAUAGCUGAAUGUACCGAGGGAAUAAGGAUCGGCUAACUCCGUGCCAGCAGCCGCGGUAAUACGGAGGAUCCAAGCGUUAUCCGGAUUUAUUGGGUUUAAAGGGUGCGUAGGCGGCCUGUUAAGUCAGGGGUGAAAGACGGUAGCUCAACUAUCGCAGUGCCCUUGAUACUGAUGGGCUUGAAUUGACUAGAGGUAGGCGGAAUGUGACAAGUAGCGGUGAAAUGCAUAGAUAUGUCACAGAACACCGAUUGCGAAGGCAGCUUACUAUGGUCUUAUUGACGCUGAGGCACGAAAGCGUGGGGAUCAAACAGGAUUAGAUACCCUGGUAGUCCACGCCCUAAACGAUGAAUACUCGCUGUUGGCGAUACACAGUCAGCGGCUAAGCGAAAGCGUUAAGUAUUCCACCUGGGGAGUACGCCCGCAAGGGUGAAACUCAAAGGAAUUGACGGGGGCCCGCACAAGCGGAGGAGCAUGUGGUUUAAUUCGAUGAUACGCGAGGAACCUUACCCGGGCUUGAAAGUUAGUGAAGCAUCCAGAGAUGGAUGCGUCCGCAAGGACACGAAACUAGGUGCUGCAUGGCUGUCGUCAGCUCGUGCCGUGAGGUGUUGGGUUAAGUCCCGCAACGAGCGCAACCCCUAUGUCUAGUUGCCAGCACGUAAUGGUGGGGACUCUAGACAGACUGCCUGUGCAAACAGAGAGGAAGGAGGGGACGACGUCAAGUCAUCAUGGCCCUUACGUCCGGGGCUACACACGUGCUACAAUGGACGGUACAGAGGGCAGCCAGCCAGCGAUGGUGCGCAAAUCUCAAAAAGCCGUUCACAGUUCGGAUCGGGGUCUGCAACUCGACCCCGUGAAGUUGGAUUCGCUAGUAAUCGCAUAUCAGCAAUGAUGCGGUGAAUACGUUCCCGGGCCUUGUACACACCGCCCGUCAAGCCAUGGAAGUUGGGGGUACCUAAAGUACGUAACCGCAAGGAGCGUCCUAGGGUAAAACCGAUAACUGGGGCUAAGUCGUAACAAGGUAACCGUA